AGAGUACAAGCAGGUGGAAUAGCAGGCAGAGCGAGAAGGAGAAGCAGGCUCCCUGCAGAGCAAGAAGCCGGAUGCGGGACUCGAUCCCAGGACCCUGAGAUCAUGACCUGAGCCGAAGAAGGCAGUCACUUAACUGACUGAGCCACCCAGGCGCCCUGUAUUUUUCAGUUCUGCUGCUUGGAGGGUGACACCCAAGAUUGGGUCUCCAUCUCUAUCAACUACUCUGAUAAGUGUCAAAGUAAAGGGAAAUUUCAGACUCAGGAAACCCCACCAACAUCAUGAAAGCAACAACAGCAACAGCAACUCACAUCCCCAGGCUAAGGGGUGAACCCUGAGUAUCCAGUUCCAGUCCGUUCAUUUACAGAGAGAGAGACAGCGAGAGAAGGAACACAAGCAGGGGGAGCAGGAGAGGGAGAAGCAGGCUUCCCGCUGAGCAGGGAGUCCCAUGCGGGGCUCGAUCCCAGGACCCCCGGAUCAUGACCUGAGCAGAAGGCAGACGCUUAACCGACUGAGCCACCCAGGCGCCCCUUAUUCAUAUCCAUCUGUGUUGCGGCUGGUAUGAAAAAGACAAGAAAAAACAAGUGUUGGCGAGGAUGUGGAGAAAAGGGGAGCCUCGUGCACUGUGGGUGUGGGCGUAAGCCGGGGCAGUCACUGUAGACAACGGGAUGGAGGUUCCUCACGGGACUUCUCGAGCCUCCCCCUCCUGCAGCUCCAGCCCCAAGUGGCGACAAGCAGACCCCACCCCUCAGCCUGCUCCGCCCACAGCUCCGCCCCCUCCUGGGAGCAGAGCCGGGGCGGGGGGCCGGUGCGCGUGCGCAGCAUCCCAGGCGCGGGUGCACAGAAUGCCAAGAGGCCCAUCCCUAGAGGAGACAGGUGCAGAAGGAACACCAUGUGAAGACACGCGCCUAGGAGAGAGGCCUCCAAAGAAACCAACUCUCCAACACCUUGAUCUUGGACUUCCAGCCUCCAGACUAGCUGCUUCUGGUGGACAGACCUCUGCUACUCCAGCUACCAAAGCAAUGAGGAAGAGAGCACUGCAAAGCCCGUACCCAUCCAUACCACGGAGCAUCAGCCCACUUGAAUCCACAUCAAACUCAGCCAGGCUGCACUUCCAGAGUUUGCCAUGCUGCUUUCCGUGAAGCCAAGGCACCUGCCGGUACCCCACUUGGAGAAACGCUGUGAUGGAGCACUCAAGGACGCCCUUGUCUCCGGGAAACUCGGAUAUUCACAACUCCUCGGUGUCUACGGUCUGGCCCACCUCCCUGGACAAGACUCACAUAGUGACUUCACUUCCCUGUGACAUUCACUGGUGUCUUCUCCACCAGACAGGAACUUGACUCACUUCUUUCUCCUGAACAUGAAAACUCUCUCCAAACAAUCGACAGUUCUAUGGUCUCACCUUUGUUUGGAAGGGAGAAGAGGCCAGUAAAAUCCGGGCUUCAGGAGAGGAAUAGAUAACUUCACUGAGGAUCUGUUUCUCAUCCUGAGACACAAAAUUAUUCUCAGUCGGAUGCGUCCCAGCAUUUGACAAAAGCACCAGUAACCAAAUAAUUUAAACCUCAGGGCCCAGUACAGAAGCACAAACGAGUCUCUUUCCCAUUCCAGUUUUUAAGUAAGACUUACACCCCGCAUGGGGCUUGAACUCAUGACCCUGAGAUCGAGGGUUGCAUACUCUACUGACUGAGCCAGCCAGGUGCCCCUCUAUUCCAAUUUUUAAAAUUCCAUUUUGAAACAUGUUAAUUGUUUCAGUGUUAUAUAAAGAUAGAGCCAGGAAGAGAGGUAGCAGGAAAACGUAAUAAAUGACUCAGAAAAAGAAUAGUUAGAAAAAUAGUACAUUAGCCAAAAGCUGACAGAUGCAUAGAGAUGGAAACAGAUAGAUAUCUAAGUAUAAUUUUAUUUAUUUUUAAGAUUUUUAAAAAAGAUUUUUUAUUUAUUUUUUGACAGAGAGAGAAACAGCAAGAGAGGGAACACAGGCAGGGGGGUGGGAGAGGGAGAAGCAGGCUUCCUGCAGAGCAGAGAGCCCGACGCGGGGCUCGAUCUCAGGACCCUGGGAUCGUGACCUGAGCUGAAGGCAGCCGCUUACCGACUCAGCCACCCAGGUGUCCUAAGUAUAAUUUUAAAUGUGUUGACACUGCUUGCCUAAAUUGCUCUUCUUUUACUAAAUUAAAUAGCAUAACAGCCCCAAAUCCCAGAAGCACAUCCCAUUUUGAAACAGUUCACCUGUUUUAAGCCUUUAUUUACUGCAGGCAACAUCCUGAUAUUGUAAGAAAGGGAAAGACACCAUUUUCCCAACAAACAUGCCCAUCAAGGUACAACAUUACUGUUAUGUACGUCAGGCAUUAAAUCCACAAAGAUUUAUUGAAAUGUGAUGCACCACCAACAGAUACUGGAUGUGUACAUUCAUUUGCUCCUCCAAGAGCCCCUUUAGGCCAUCAGGCUUGGUGCUGGGCCACUGGAUAUAAAGAGAUAAUUGAGAUGUGGUCCCUGUCCCAGUAGAACUUACAGUCUGUAAUGGGGGAUUUUAAAGUUAAGUGAUCUGGGGCGCUUGGGUGGCUCAGUUGUUAAGCGUCUGGCUUCAGCUCAGGUCAUGAUCCCAGGGUCCUGGGAUCCAGCCCCACAUAG